rnacentral:rRNA from 1 species
UACGUAGGGUGCGAGCGUUAAUCGGAAUUACUGGGCGUAAAGCGCGCGUAGGCGGCUUUGCAAGUCGGGUGUGAAAUCCCCAGGCUUAACCUGGGAACUGCAUUUGUGACUGCAUAGCUAGAGUUUGUCAGAGGGGGGUGGAAUUCCACGUGUAGCAGUGAAAUGCGUAGAGAUGUGGAGGAACACCGAUGGCGAAGGCAGCCCCCUGGGACCUGACUGACGCUCAUGUACGAAAGCGUGGGGAGCAAACAGG